rnacentral:rRNA from 1 species
GUCGAGAAUCUUUCACAAUGGGGGCAACCCUGAUGGAGCGACGCCGCGUGGAGGAUAAGGUCUUCGGAUUGUAAACUCCUGUCAUGCGUGAACAAGGUUGCUUGGUUAAUACCUGGGCAAAUUGAUGGUAACGCAAGAGGAAGAGACGGCUAACUCUGUGCCAGCAGCCGCGGUAAUACAGAGGUCUCAAGCGUUGUUCGGAAUCACUGGGCGUAAAGGGUGCGUAGGUGGCGUGGUAAGUCAGAUGUGAAAGCCCCGGGCUCAACCUCGGAACUGCAUCCGAUACUGCCAUGCUAGAGUACUGGAGAGGUGACUAGAAUUCUCGGUGUAGCAGUGAAAUGCGUAGAUAUCGAGAGGAAUACCAAAGGCGUAGGCAGGUCACUGGACAGUUACUGACACUGAGGCACGAAGGCCAGGGGAGCGAACGGGAUUAGAAACCCCUGUAGUCC